rnacentral:rRNA from 1 species
ACAGGUGUUGCAUGGCCGUCGUCAGCUCGUGUGGUGACAUGUUGGAUUAAUUUCCCGAACGAGCGAAACCCUGCCACAUUGCACUAUACACACGUACGUCAAUGUGGACCGCCAGUGAGAGACUGGAGGCAGGAUGGGAUGACGUCAAGUCCUCAUGACCCUUAUGAACUGGGCUACACACGUGUUACAAUGGUGUGAACAAUACGUAGCAAGACCGAAAGGUGGAGCCAAUCGCCAAAUCACACCUCAGUACGGAUUGGUGUCUGCAACUCGACACCAUCAAGCCGGAAUCACUAGUAAUCGUGGAUCAGCACGCCACGGUGAAUAUGUACCUGAGCCUUGUACUCCCCGCCCGUCACACUCUGGGAGAUGUAUGUAGUGGAAGUACCUAUACAUACCG